rnacentral:tRNA from 1 species
AGAGAGGUGGCCGAGUGGUUUAAGGCGCACGCUUGGAAAGCGUGUUAGCGCGAAAGUGUUACGAGGGUUCGAAUCCCUUCCUCUCUA